rnacentral:rRNA from 1 species
AUGGUUGGGCAUGAGAAUGCCGUGAAGUACAAGACUCUAAUUUACCUUGCAGGGCUAGCUUCUGCUGAGGUAAUUGCUGAUAUCGCUUUGUGCCCCUUUGAAGCUAUCAAGGUCCGUGUGCAGACACAACCUGGAUUUGCUCGUGGGUUGAGUGAUGGACUUCCCAAGUUCAUCAAAGCUGAGGGUGCUGCUGGGCUUUACAAGGGACUUGUUCCUCUUUGGGGUUGCCAGAUUCCUUAUAAGUGCUUUCUCUCAUCAUUCUGUUAUAGUCUUUUAAUUUGA